UGCUUUAUUUAUUAUAUUUGUUACUGAAGUUCAUAAAUUUCCAGGAGAGAGAGGGACAACUCUGAAGCUGAAAGAGCUCAGCAUAUUAAGCAACUUCAUGAACUUCAGGAACAUAUUCAAGAGAAAGAACAUCAGUUUAUGGAAUUGCAGGAACAGAACAGAAUUGCAAAGGAAACCAUUCUUUACAAAGA